AUUGAACGCUGGCGGCAUGCUUUACACAUGCAAGUCGAACGGUAACAGGCCUUCGGGUGCUGACGAGUGGCGAACGGGUGAGUAAUGCAUCGGAACGUACCCAGAGGUGGGGGAUAACGCAGCGAAAGCUGUGCUAAUACCGCAUGUGAUCUGAGGAUGAAAGCGGGGGACCGAGCAGCAAUGUUUGGCCUCGCGCCUUUGGAGCGGCCGAUGUCGGAUUAGCUAGUUGGUGGGGUAAAGGCCUACCAGGGCGACGAUCCGUAGCUGGUCUGAGAGGACGACCAGCCACACUGGGACUGAGACACGGCCCAGACUCCUACGGGAGGCAGCAGUGGGGAAUUUUGGACAAUGGGCGCAAGCCUGAUCCAGCAAUGCCGCGUGCGGGAAGAAGGCCUUCGGGUUGUAAACCGCUUUUGGCAGGAACGAAACGGUGUCCGCUAAUACCGGGCGCUAAUGACGGUACCUGCAGAAUAAGCACCGGCUAACUACGUG
rnacentral:rRNA from 1 species